AACGAAAGACCAAGCAGCGGUACAAUUCUUCUAAAGAGUAAAGCAGUGAUGGUGGUCCAAGAGAGUCUAGUAGAGGUUCUAGCUAGUUGAAUUUAACUAAAAAUUUUAUUGUAAACGUGAUGAAAUUUCGACAGCAAAAAACUUUAGGAGAAGCUUGAAGCAAUGUAUCAGGCAAAAAGCAUAUCAAAUCAGUUUUCUUUACUGCAAAUGGUGCAAGGUACAUAACUCUCAUAUCAUCUAGAUAUUCUCAAUAUUGGCAUCGAUUAUGAGGUAGAGGUUGUAGGAGGAAAAAUAGGAGAUGAAGAUAAAUUCCGCAUUGACUUAUUUGGUCACUUCCUCCCUUUUAUGGACACAUGAAGCCAAUCUUGAUGUACGGAAAAGAAACUUUAGAUUUUGUUGAGGUUGCUAGUAAACUUAUGUCAUAAGAAAAGAAACUGAAUAGUUUAUUUCACAAGAGGACUCAUUAUUGGUACCUAGCAAAAAGUGGAUGAAGGAAGAAAGACUUCGGGUAGAAAACAAUUUGUUAGGAACGUGGGUAGUCUGAAAAAAUGAAAAAGGAUUGUCCUAAUAGAAUAGAUUUGUUAAAUAGCUUUGAGUCAUAUGUUAACGUUGUUUUCGUCGUCGCAGAGGAUGACUUCCAUUGAAACAAGAUAAUAUUCAUACUCAUAGUAUGUCUGCUUUGCCAUAAUAGAGGAUGCGAUGUUAGCAGUUCCAAAAGUUUGCACAUUGGCAUUGACUUGCGGGCAAGGUGUGUGGUGGAAGUUUUGUUAAUGGCUGAAGAACUUCCAGGUGAGCCAAGUAGGUGGAAGUGCAUCAUAAAUAUCAACAAGGUUUAUCAGCGUGUGACGAAAAAGAAAAAUCUUGGAAGGUGGUAUUCCAAGUGGUUUACUUUUACGGUGGAGUAGGUUAUGAUUCUAGGAGAUGAAAAAAUAUGAUUGUUGGUGAAGACAAUGGAUAUUAAAAGUGAAAUUUAUGGCUAUUGAUUCUUCAAACAUUUUGUCAAACGUGAAAUUUGAUACGUUUUUGGAAAGAUAUUAAAAGCACAAUUUUCCAAUAUAAAAAAGGUUU
rnacentral:lncRNA from 1 species